AUUGAACGCUGGCGGCAGGCCUAACACAUGCAAGUCGAGCGGAUGAAGGGAGCUUGCUCCUGGAUUCAGCGGCGGACGGGUGAGUGAUGCCUAGGAAUCUGCCUGGUAGUGGGGGAUAACGUCCGGAAACGGGCGCUAAUACCGCAUACGUCCUGAGGGAGAAAGUGGGGGAUCUUCGGACCUCACGCUAUCAGAUGAGCCUAGGUCGGAUUAGCUAGUUGGUGGGGUAAAGGCCUACCAAGGCGACGAUCCGUAACUGGUCUGGGAGGAUGAUCAGUCACACUGGAACUGAGACACGGUCCAGACUCCUACGGGAGGCAGCAGUGGGGAAUAUUGGACAAUGGGCGAAAGCCUGAUCCAGCCAUGCCGCGUGUGUGAAGAAGGUCUUCGGAUUGUAAAGCACUUUAAGUUGGGAGGAAGGGCAGUAAGUUAAUACCUUGCUGUUUUGACGUUACCAACAGAAUAAGCACCGGCUAACUUCGUG
rnacentral:rRNA from 1 species